rnacentral:rRNA from 1 species
CGUAGGGGGCAAGCGUUGUCCGGAAUUAUUGGGCGUAAAGAGCUCGUAGGCGGCUUGUCGCGUCGGCUGUGAAAACCUGGGGCUCAACCCCGGGCCUGCAGCCGAUACGGGCAAGCUAGAAUUCGGUAGGGGAGACUGGAAUUCCUGGUGUAGCGGUGAAAUGCGCAGAUAUCAGGAAGAACACCCGUGGCGAAAGCGGCUCUCUGGAACGGUACUGACGCUGAGACGCGAAAGCGUGGGGAGCGAACAGG